rnacentral:rRNA from 1 species
CCCUAUGGGGUGCACCAGGCAAAGAGUCGGAAUGACCAUCAAAACAAACAGCGUCAAGGCCUUGAUGAAAUUCAAUGCCGCAAAAUGGUCCUGAAAAAUGUAUAUCAGUUUGGCGAAAAAGAGCUGGCUGUUCCCCAUUAACUGACUGACUGCUAGAACCGACAGGGCGGACACCACCUGGGUGGUGAUCAAAAGCCACAGGGGUUGCCUGACUUUAUCAGCAAGCCAUCCAAAAAUCAUACUGCCCAGCCCCAACCCCAGAAUGAACGUGACCAGCACAAUGGUGAAAGAAUAGGUGGUAGGGCCGACGAUCAGCCCCAGCAGUUUGGUCCAGAUCACCUCAUAAGCCAUCGCGCAAAAACCCGAUACGGCGAAGAUGGCCAGCGCUCCUUUCAUGAUCACGGCGGACGAUGCCUGGGAGAGC